CGUCCCCGGCCGCGCGCGCCGCCUGGGGACGCGCGGGGAGGCGCGGGACGGCGCGGGACGGCGCGGGGCGGCGGAGGGGCCCCGGGACCCCGUCAGCCCCUGCGCAUCUCCGCCGCCGGAUCCUGCGCCCAGCUCUUGCGCCUCCCGUCCUCCCCCGGAAAGAAAUUCCAUCCCAGGAAAUUACAGAGAAACGUGCGGCCGACCUCCAGAAAACAGGCCUUCCUCUGGAAAUGCUGCUUUCUGUCAAGCCGACUAUCAAAACACAUUAAAUAUGAAGAUUUGAUAGAAAAACGUACAUAUAAGCCAACAGUAACCCAUAAGAUUCACAGGGUCUGGAAUGGACCCACAAAUGUGCACAUCCGAGGUGUUUCUGAAGUAUGUGGUCUAGGAACUAUAUUCAGAGGAAAUCCUCUACUGCUGAUGAUUCUCUACAAUGCCUACCCCAGGAGGAAUUAUUCCACAAAUAAGGGCCCAGCGUGACAUUUAUGAGAAAGCCAGGGUCCUCCUGUGCAAAAUUGAUUGGUUCUUAGCCAACGGGCUCCCGGGCGUUGCAAACAAAGGCACCUUCUCCACUGGGACCUAUCAGAUGCAGGGCAGAGUAUUGCCUCUGCCUUUGGAACUUCAGGAAAUGCUCAACUCCUAUCUGGGCAGCACAUAUCUGUGGCCAGCAAAGAGGAACCUGGUUUUGAAAAUGAAACAACUUCCUCCUCAAUUUGUUUCCAUCUUGGCCAUCUAUUGCUUCUGCAUGCUACAGAUUCCCUCCUCAGGAUUUCCUCGACCUCUAGCUGAUCCUCCAGAUGACUUGGAUAUCAUGCAGCUUGAGUGGCUGGCAUAUGGGGCAACUCUUUCUUGGCAAACUAAGGAUAAUCAAGACAUAUACAAAAGGUUUCCGCCGGUGCGCCCGUUAAUGCGCCUGGCCGCGCAGCUCGCCAACCGAAGGAUGAAAAGAUUUCAGCAGCAGCGCGAUUCGAGGACUGAUGCAGGAGAUUUCACCAAGAAGGAUCACACUGCCACCUUGGGACGACCAUUUUUCCUUUUCAGGAUGCUUGAUGUUUAUAAAGGAAAGAGUCCAGAAGGGCCAGGCUGAGAAACCAGGGCUCUGGGACCGUGGAUGGGAGGCGAGAGUACUGCUGAUGGACAGACAUGGGGGCAACCAGAAUUGGAGUCUGUGACCCUGAGCACGAAGCCAAGGAAUGGAAGAAACACUGAAGCCAACACCCAGUAGGAUAGUCCAAGAAUUCAGUGGCAAAGAGAAACUGGAUCAGAUAAGGAAAUCGAGCAAUUAUUUUGAACAAAUGUCAAAUUUCUUUCUGUGAACAAUACUUAAAGAUAAUUCUCUUGCUCUGUAUUCCCCAGAAUAUUCAGUUGUGUAAAAAAUAAAGUAGCAUAGGCAUAA